CCGUUUAACUNGAGUGCAGAAGGGGAGAGUGGAAUUCCAUGUGUAGCGGUGAAAUGCGUAGAUAUAUGGAGGAACACCGGUGGCGAAAGCGGCUCUCUGGUCUGUAACUGACGCUGAGGCUCGAAAGCGUGGNGAGCAAACAGGAUUAGAUACCCUGGUAGUNCACGCCGUAAACGAUGAGUGCUAGGUGUUGGGUCCUUUCCGGGACUCAGUGCCGCAGCUAACGCAUUAAGCACUCCGCCUGGGGAGUACGACCGCAAGGUUGAAACUCAAAGGAAUUGACGGGGGCCCGCACAAGCGGUGGAGCAUGUGGUUUAAUUCGAAGCAACGCGAAGAACCUUACCAGGUCUUGACAUCCCGGUGCCCGUCCUAGAGAUAGGAUUUUGCUUCGGCACACCGGUGACAGGUGGUGCAUGGUUGUCGUCAGCUCGUGACGUGAGAUGUUGGGUUAAGUCCCGCAACGAGCGCAACCCUUAUUGUUAGUUGCCAUCAUUUAGUUGGGCACUCUAGCGAGACUGCCGGUAAUAAACCGGAGGAAGGUGGGGAUGACGUCAAAUCAUCAUGCCCCUUAUGACCUGGGCUACACACGUGCUACAAUGGCUGGUACAACGAGUCGCAAGUCGGUGACGGCAAGCUAAUCUCUUAAAGCCAGUCUCAGUUCGGAUUGUAGGCUGCAACUCGCCUACAUGAAGUCGGAAUCGCUAGUAAUCACGGAUCAGCACGCCGCGGUGAAUACGUUCCCGGGCCUUGUACACACCGCCCGUCACACCACGAGAGUUUGUAACACCCGAAGUCGGUGAGGUAACCU
rnacentral:rRNA from 1 species